CCGUUCCUGGAAGUCGUGGCCUACGUAACCGUCUCUCACGUGACCCUUCCAGAAGCGCUCUGGUCACUGGGAGCAGGAUGCAGGCGUGUCAAGACGCUCAUUGUGCCACCCCUAGACCCGCUGAAGAAGCAAGGCUAUGCUGGUCACAGAGUCUGCCAGAUGUUGGGGAAGUGCUGGCCUGAACUACAGGUCCUGUGCAUUGGCGGCAGGAGCCUCACACUGGCAAGCCUCUGCUGCGUUCUGAGGUCCUGCGUGAAUCUGUCAUCUUUCGAGAUCGACAGGGGGCGAGACAUCGAUGAGUCAUCAGCCGCUGCACUGGUUGAAGCUGGGUUGCAGCGAAUACAGCGCUUGUACUUAACCCACACAGUUAUC
rnacentral:lncRNA from 1 species